rnacentral:rRNA from 1 species
GACGAACGCUGGCGGCGUGCCUAAUACAUGCAAGUUGAGCGCUGAAGGUUGGUACUUGUACCAACUGGAUGAGCAGCGAACGGGUGAGUAACGCGUGGGGAAUCUGCCUUUGAGCGGGGGACAACAUUUGGAAACGAAUGCUAAUACCGCAUAAAAACUUUAAACACAAGUUUUAAGUUUGAAAGAUGCAAUUGCAUCACUCAAAGAUGAUCCCGCGUUGUAUUAGCUAGUUGGUGAGGUAAAGGCUCACCAAGGCGAUGAUACAUAGCCGACCUGAGAGGGUGAUCGGCCACAUUGGGACUGAGACAAGGCCCAAACUCCUACGGGAGGCAGCAGUAGGGAAUCUUCGGCAAUGGACGAAAGUCUGACCGAGAAACGCCGCGUGAGUGAAGAAGGGUUUCGGAUCGUAAAAAUCUGUUGGUAGAGAAGAACGUUGGUGAGAGUGGAAAGCUCAUCAAGUGACGGUAACUACCCAGAAAGGGACGGCUAACUACGUG